GAGAGAGAGAGAGAGAGAGUCAAAGCGUAGGAGAGUAAUGAAGACAGAGUGUGGCUUAUGGGUGUCGGUGAAAAAGGGAAAAAAAGAGUUAAAUAAAUAGAAAAAAAAAAGUUAAAAUGGAAAGAAAAUAAUGUAAACAGUUGAAAGGAGUUGGCUUUCAAGUAGGCAAAGGCAAGCAACGUAUGAUUCUGGUUUCAGGAGUCCUACUCCUUCCCCUUCUCAAUUCCCCUGUGCUUUGGAUUCUCCACAUGCGACUCUUCCGUUGAUGUUUUGCACUUUAACUGCCAUCCCUUGCCAUGCCUGUAAUCUGUCCUAAUGGAAGCCAAAUCCAA
rnacentral:misc_RNA from 1 species